UAUAAUGAGCAAUGUAGAUUUAUUAUUACUUAUUUGUUUAUAUGAACAGGCGACUUUUUUAUUGUGCGUUUUUGUUUGGAUUAGUGUUUUUCUUUUUUUCCAAAAAAUUAAAUAAAAAUUGUAUGAAAUGUGAGAUUGAGUGCAUGGAGGGUGGGAUGGUGGGUUGGGUGACAGGUGGAGCCAACAAAUUGGGAGCCAAUAAAAACCUUUCUGAAAAUAGUGUGUACACUUGGUUUUGGCAUUUUGGUUCUUGUUGACUUUAAUUUGGUAACUGUAUGGCAGCUGUGUUUUAUUAAUUAAAAUAAAUCAUUUUGCCUCUAUUUUAAUUCAUAAGAAAAAAAAGAGAAAUUGAAUUCAAUUUGCAUACUUCUACGUGCAAAUAUGCAGUAGCAGAGCACAGGUUUUGUAAUUAUUGUGAUCCCAAUAGCAAAAAUGAAUUCAAUUCAAAAAAAGAAAAUUAGGGUGAGAAAAAUUGAAAGCUGGGGGGUUGUUGGAUUUCAAAUUAGACGUAGGGGCAAGGGUACAUGGAAAGCAACAGCAGGGAAAAGCAAGAAGGAAUUCAUAAAUAAAGAUUGACAAAACAUGGGUCCACCACAUUGAGUUGGGGGAUGGAGUCCAUACUCAUGGUAAUGGGACAAAAGGCAAAGGGAGGGAGGGAGGGAGUCAGUCAGGCAAAGGCAUCUCUAUGCUCUAAUUUCAUGCAUUGUAAUUUACAGUUUUAAUUCUAAAUCUUUAGUGGAUUAUGAUUAUUUGUUAUAAGAGAUUGAUUCCAUCUCUCAAUCAAACACAGGGUUAGUUUUUUUUUUCUUUUUUUUCUUU